AUUUACGAAUUUAUUCACGAGCUUAUUUAACGAGUCAGAUUGUGAGCCUAUUUAACGAGUUAAAUCACAAGCUUGUUCAACGAGCCAAUUCGCGAGCCUUUAACGAACUCGAGCCAAAUAUGACUCCUUUAUUAAACGAGCCUAAAAUUCUAACUCGAAUCGAACUGAGCAGAACAUUUAUUGAGCCGAGUUUCAAGUAGCUCGCGAGUGGCUUAGUUCGUUUAAACUCCUAUUUGUGUUCAAUGCACAAUUAUAGUGCUAACCUUUGUGUACAGUGUAUUGAUUAUAAUUAAACCUUGUGUUGUAGAAUGUUGUGGUUGAAGAAGAG
rnacentral:misc_RNA from 1 species